GAUGGGUCCGCGUCCCAUUAGCUAGUUGGCGGUGUAAGAGACCACCAAGGCGACGAUGGGUAGCCGGCCUGAGAGGAUGAUCAGCCACACUGGAACUGAAACACGGUCCAGACUCCUACGGGAGGCAGCAGUGAGGAAUAUUGCGCAAUGGGGGCAACCCUGACGCAGCAACGCCGCGUGAGUGAGGAAGGUUUUCGGAUUGUAAAGCUCUGUCGAGCGGAAAGAAGUGCAUGGUGGUUAAUAUCCAUCAUGCUUGACGGUACCGCUAAAGGAAGCACCGGCUAACUCCGUGCCAGCAGCCGCGGUAAUACGGGGGGUGCAAGCGUUGUUCGGAAUCAUUGGGCGUAAAGCGCGUGUAGGCGGCUGGACAAGUCAGAUGUGAAAGCCCUGGGCUUAACCCAGGAAGUGCAUUUGAAACUGUUCAGCUAGAGUAAGGGAGAGGAAAGUGGAAUUCCUGGUGUAGAGGUGAAAUUCGUAGAUAUCAGGAGGAACACCGGUGGCGAAGGCGACUUUCUGGCCCUAUACUGACGCUGAGACGCG
rnacentral:rRNA from 1 species